UACAGAGGUCUCAAGAGUUGUUCGGAUUCAUUGGGCGUAAAGGGUGCGUAGGCGGCGCGGUAAGUCGGGUGUGAAAUCUCGGAGCUUAACUCCGAAACUGCAUUCGAUACUGCCGUGCUUGAGGACUGGAGAGGAGACUGGAAUUUACGGUGUAGCGGUGAAAUGCGUAGAUAUCGUAAGGAAGACCAGUGGCGAAGGCGGGUCUCUGGACAGUUCCUGACGCUGAGGCACGAAGGUCAGGGGAGCAAACGGG
rnacentral:rRNA from 1 species